UACGGAGGGUGCAAGCGUCAUCCGGAUUUACUGGGUUUAAAGGGUGCGUAGGUGGGCAGGUAAGUCAGUGGUGAAAUCUCCGGGCUUAACCCGGAAACUGCCAUUGAUACUAUCUGUCUUGAAUAUCCUGGAGGUGAGCGGAAUAUGUCAUGUAGCGGUGAAAUGCUUAGAUAUGACAUAGAACACCAAUUGCGAAGGCAGCUCACUACGGGAUUAUUGACACUGAGGCACGAAAGCGUGGGGAUCAAACAGG
rnacentral:rRNA from 1 species